UCUCAGAGUGUUUUAGUACACGAUGAGAGAGUGGGAGAGUAUCCCCAGUCUACCCCCGUAUGUAUUUUUUUGAAAGCCUAUAGCGUUCUUUCAAUCCCUUCCCUUGCAUGAGCGAUUUAAAGUUUUCUCACCGCCUACAAAUGCUAUUGGCUGCUUGUGGGACCACCCCUAAUUUUAAGUCCCAAUUAGCUUUCCCAGAAAAGCUAGGCAGUUUUCCUUCCAGAGAUCCGCUUUUAGCGAUUGACAAGUGGCGUAGAGACAAUGGUCACAAAAAUGCACUCAGACCGAUAGGCCUGCAGAGAGCCCGAAGAUGAACAUGAACUGAUAGGACUAGAGAACGACAAACAAUACUUAUAGUGAUUGACGAGUAACCUAGAGGCAUGCACCAAGACCGAUGGGUCUCGUGAUAGUCAUUUUUGGCAGGAGAUCCCUUAUUUUGUUGCGCUACCUGCAGAGAGCGCGGAGAUUAACACGUCGUACUGACUUUGACGAGUUUCCUAGAGGCUUGCAGGAAAUCCCCAAAAAGAUGCAGAGGCACCGAUAAGUUUUAUGAAGAUAUCCCUCCCUUUUUUUCGAUUCGCUAGCAGUGGACGAAAAUGCGUAAGUGUCGAAGAUACCUGCAGAGAUGAACGUUGUAAAGGCUUUUAGCGUUUGACGAAUGACCGAUGAGGGCCGGGUCUUAUGAUAGUCAUUUUUGGCAGGAGAUCCCUUAUUUUGUUGCGCUACCUGCAGAGAGCGCGGAGAUUAACACGUCGUACUGACUUUGACGAGUUUCCUAGAGGCCUGCAGGAAAUCCCCCAAAAAGAUGCAGAGGCACCGAUAAGUUUUAUGAAGAUACCCCUCCCUUUUUUUCCGUUUCGCUAGCAGUGGACGAAAAUGCGUGAGUGUCGCAGAUACCUGCAGAUAUGAACGUUGUAAAGGCUUUUAAGCUUUUGACGAGUGACUGAAGAGGGCCGCAGGAAUCUAGAAACUAUACCCGCUGGCAAGACCUUUCUUUUUGUUUCGCUACCCACGGUUAAAAUCAAUUAUUUUUCGGAAAAGGUCUGCAAAAGUACCCAUAGAUUAUCUCAUGAAGGCAAGUGAAAUUUUUAUUUGACGGGGAGGAGCAUGGUCAAGGGAGGUGUUUUUGAAAUUAAGGGAGGAACAUUUUUCUCCAAUUAGAGGACUUUUCAGGAAGGUAGUGGGAAAAGAAGCUCAGCAAAUCCGAGGAUUUUCGGCAAAAAAAUGAAAAGUGUGCUCCUGUUUUCGAGUAUAAAUAACCCAUCAAGAUACACCGGAGUCAGUCACAGGUUUUCUUGCAAGCUGUCAAGAAAAUGUCUUCGAAGAAAAGUUCAUCAAUGCAGCCUUCUCAGAGCCGAUGAAGUCUACAGGAUGCUCAGGAGCGUAUACGUUGGCUGAUCGCCAACGCACCGACUCUCCUGACGAUGCUAGACUACGUGUCCUGGGCCAUGGACAUAGUAGAAACAUUGCCGCAACCACCGAAUGCUGCUUUGCAACAAUUGGCGCCGCGUCGAUCACCGGCGGCUGUCCCGCCUCGUCGAUCUCCGGCGGCUGACCUGCCUCAUCGAUCUCCGGCGGCUGACCCACCGCGGCGAUCCCCGGCUGCUGACCCGCCACAGCGAUCGCCGGCAGCUGACCCGCCUCGACGAUCCCCAGUGGCUGACCCGCCGCAUCGAUUGCCGACAGCUGUCCCGCCAGCGAUCCCCAGCUGCUAACUCGUCUGGACGAUUCCCAAUGACUGAGCAGCCUCGGCGAUCACCGAAGGCUGAGCAGCCUCGGCAAUCCUCGGCGACCCGAAGAAGACGGUCUCGCUCGAGCUCGAGCUCCAGCUUGAGUUCGAGUUCAAGUUCGAGCUCUACUUCGAGCUCCAGUUCAAGCGGAACAUCAUCCAGUUGCGCAUCGCGCAAAUCCGUUAAAAGUAUACGCGAUCUCAAGCGGAUUCCUAAAAUUACAUCCUCGAAUAUGAAGAGAAAAGCAAAUGAACAAGAAGGCAACGAGCAGAAGAAGAAGAAGGCAGGAGAGAGAGAGAGACGUCACCAAAACCCGGAACAUCUACAAUGACUUCAGAGGUUACGAGACCAGUACCGAGACGUGGUAUUUUACAAUUGAAAAGGACAGACAGUCAACAGCAACAGCAACAGCAGCAAGAGCAACAACAACAGCAGCAGCAACAACAACAGCAACAGCAGAAGCAGCAACAGCAGC
rnacentral:lncRNA from 1 species